UAAUACCGCAUAAUGUCUUCGGACCAAAGGAGCAAUUCGCUGGAAGAGGGGGUCGCGGCCGAUUAGCUAGUUGGCGGGGUAACGGCCCACCAAGGCAAUGAUCGGUAGCCGGCCUGAGAGGGCGCACGGCCACACUGGAACUGAAACACGGUCCAGACUCCUACGGGAGGCAGCAGUGGGGAAUUUUGCGCAAUGGGGGAAACCCUGACGCAGCAACGCCGCGUGGAGGAUGAAGCCCCUUGGGGUGUAAACUCCUUUCGAUCGGGACGAUGAUGACGGUACCGGAUGAAGAAGCACCGGCUAACUCUGUGCCAGCAGCCGCGGUAAUACAGAGGGUGCAAGCGUUGUUCGGAAUUAUUGGGCGUAAAGGGUGCGUAGGCGGUGCGGUAAGUCUGUUGUGAAAUCUCCGGGCUCAACUCGGAGCCUGCAACGGAAACUGCCCUGCUCGAGUAUGGGAGAGGUGAGUGGAAUUCCCGGUGU
rnacentral:rRNA from 1 species